UACAUGUGGGGCAAGCGUUGUUCGGAAUUACUGGGCGUAAAGGGCGCGCAGGCGGCCCUCCAAGUCAGGCGUGAAAGCCCCGGGCUCAACCCGGGAAUAGCGCUUGAGACUGGGGGGCUUGAGUUCGGGAGAGGAGAGUGGAAUUCCCGGUGUAGUGGUGAAAUGCGUAGAGAUCGGGAGGAACACCCGUGGCGAAGGCGGCCAGCUGGGCCGGGCCUGACGCUGAGGCGCGAAGGCGUGGGGAGCAAACCGG
rnacentral:rRNA from 1 species